rnacentral:rRNA from 1 species
UCGAAGGAGAAGGGUGGUGCUUGCACUACCUGGAGACUGGCGGACGGGUGAGUAACGCGUAGAUAACCUGCCUAUAUCUGGGGGAUAACAUUUCGAAAGGGAUGCUAAUACCGCAUAAUGCAGCGGGGCCGCAUGGCCACAGUUGUUAAAAGUUUCGGCUGGAUAUAGAGGGGUCUGCGUACUAUUAGUUAGUUGGUGAGGUAACGGCUCACCAAGGCGAUGAUAGUUAGGGGGUCUGAGAGGAUGAUCCCCCACACUGGGACUGAGACACGGCCCAGACUCCUACGGGAGGCAGCAGUGAGGAAUCUUGCGCAAUGGGCGAAAGCCUGACGCAGCCACGCCGCGUGCCGGAAGACGGCCCUAUGGGUUGUAAACGGCUUUUGGAAGGGAAGAACGACCGAGUUUCGACUUGGUGUGACGGUACCUUCUGAAUAAGCACCGGCUAACUCCGUGCCAGCAGCCGCGGUAAUACGGAGGGUGCAAGCGUUGUCCGGAAUCAUUGGGUGUAAAGGGUGCGUANGCGGGAGCCUAAGUCUGUGGUGAAAUCUUGCCGCUUAACGGUAAAAUGGCCAUGGAUACUGGGGUUUCUUGAGUACANAANNGNNCGGUGGAAUUCGUANUGUANCNGUGAAUGCAUANAUAUUACAAGANAUCAGUGGCGAANNGGCCGGCUGGACUGUNACUGACNCUGANNACGAAANCNUGGGGAGCNAACAGGAUANAUNCCCNGUAGUCCACGCUG